rnacentral:rRNA from 1 species
AGAUUGAACGCUGGCGGCAGGCCUAACACAUGCAAGUCGAGCGGUAGAGAGAAGCUUGCUUCUCUUGAGAGCGGCGGACGGGUGAGUAAUGCCUAGGAAUCUGCCUGGUAGUGGGGGAUAACGUUCGGAAACGGACGCUAAUACCGCAUACGUCCUACGGGAGAAAGCAGGGGACCUUCGGGCCUUGCGCUAUCAGAUGAGCCUAGGUCGGAUUAGCUAGUUGGUGAGGUAAUGGCUCACCAAGGCGACGAUCCGUAACUGGUCUGAGAGGAUGAUCAGUCACACUGGAACUGAGACACGGUCCAGACUCCUACGGGAGGCAGCAGUGGGGAAUAUUGGACAAUGGGCGAAAGCCUGAUCCAGCCAUGCCGCGUGUGUGAAGAAGGUCUUCGGAUUGUAAAGCACUUUAAGUUGGGAGGAAGGGCAGUUACCUAAUACGUGAUUGUUUUGACGUUACCGACAGAAUAAGCACCGGCUAACUCUGUGCCAGCAGCCGCGGUAAUACAGAGGGUGCAAGCGUUAAUCGGAAUUACUGGGCGUAAAGCGCGCGUAGGUGGUUAGUUAAGUUGGAUGUGAAAUCCCCGGGCUCAACCUGGGAACUGCAUUCAAAACUGACUGACUAGAGUAUGGUAGAGGGUGGUGGAAUUUCCUGUGUAGCGGUGAAAUGCGUAGAUAUAGGAAGGAACACCAGUGGCGAAGGCGACCA